rnacentral:lncRNA from 1 species
UCCUCCUUUUUCAGCUUGACUGGAGAGCUUCUUCAUGCUCUCAUACUUUAUUCCUGUGAUCAGACUGCAGGAGGCAAAUGAGAGCCAAGAGGGUUGUGGCACUUGUGGUUUAUUUUAGAGGUGGUUUAUUCUCUGAAAAGAAAAAAAAAAAGAAAGAAAGAAACAGAAGAAAAAAAAAGAAAGAAAGAAAGAAACAUUCUGAAAUUUUCACAUGGAAUAGAGAUCUCGUCUGCGUCCUGCUGAGUUGCUUUAAAGAUGGAUUACCAUUUUGCAAAACCUCUCUGAACAAGAGAUGUAUUAUUCCCAUUUUGGAUGAGAGAAGUCAACGUGGGAUUGCUUCCCUGAGUUACCUGGAAAGUGUGACGCUGAAAGAGUAUUUCACCUCAAAGCUCCUGCAGCCCUUUCCACAGGAACAUUUCUUCUACCUAAGCAUUAAUUGUUUUCCUAAUCCCACUCUCCCUCCUAAUCCCAUUCUCCCCCAAAGGAGAAUAGCUAAAUGUAAAAGAAAGCAAGGUAAAACAGUUACAGGUGUCUAGAACGGCUCAGUACUUGUGCUGUAUUUGCCUGUAUAGUGCUCCUUCUGUCUUGCCCAUUUAGGCAAACGUUGUCUCUUUGUAUGCUCCCACACUUUGUGUUUAAUGAUACUGCCCUUAUGUCUUCUACCUCUGAUACAAGAUCCUGAAAAAAAAAAAAAAAAGAAAAAAAAGUAUUUUUCAACUUGAAUGGAAUUCUUUUGUCCAGUCUAAAGUUGCGCUUCACUCCUCAGUGUUCCUUGCCUGCCAAAGGAAAAUUAAAAAAAUAAAUAAAAAAGAAAUUUAAAAGUAUGUUUUCAUUUGCAAACAUUUAAGACUAAUGUAAGGCUACUCACUUUGGAAAAAAACAAAACCAUUUGCAGGGUAUGGUGCACGUGUGUUGGGGAGGGGAGAUAGGGAGAUAUUCAUGUUUCAGAAUUUUCUAAAUCUACUUUUUUUUGAAA